rnacentral:rRNA from 1 species
AUGGCAGUGCGCGACGGAGUUAUCUUCGCAUGUCUGAGGGGUUAUUCACACGUCAUUGUGGAGACGGACUGCUCGGAGGUCGCCAACCUCUGGACCACUCGCCACGACUCUCGAUCGGUCGUGGCACCCAUUCUGUUAGAAAUUGGAGAGCUCUCUCGUAGUUUCACUUUUUUUGAUAUUCGCCAUAUUGUAAGAUCGGCUAACGGUCCUGCUCAUAUUUGUGCUAAGCAAGCUUGCACAAUUGACGUGACCGAAAGGUGGAUCGAAAGUACUCCCAGCUUCCUGAUCAGCAGCCUCUUGGCAGGCUGCCCAGCGAACGCUUUUAAGUAA